rnacentral:sRNA from 1 species
AUGUACCCCCCGCACGCUCCGUUCCUCCGCGCCCACCUGACAACUGCUCGCUACGUUUUGUUAGCU